UACGUAGGGUGCAAGCGUUAAUCGGAAUUACUGGGCGUAAAGCGUGCGCAGGCGGUUUUGUAAGUCUGUCGUGAAAUCCCCGGGCUCAACCUGGGAAUUGCGAUGGAGACUGCAAGGCUAGAAUCUGGCAGAGGGGGGUAGAAUUCCACGUGUGAGCAGUGAAAUGGCGUAGAGAUGUGGAGGAACACCGAUGGCGAAGGCAGCCCCCUGGGUCGAA
rnacentral:rRNA from 1 species